AGAAUACCUUCUUCAGCACGCUGUCCAAACCCCCUCCCUCCUCCCUGCCGUAGCCCAUGGUCCACCGUCCAUCGGAAGGGUCAGGGGCGAACGGGUCGGGUAGGCGAUUGUCGAGCCGGCACGACCGCGCGUCCGAGAAACAGAACGGGAGGACUUUGAAGGGCGGGAUGCCGCCAGCGAGCAGGCGCCGCCGGAGCUUGAGGUACAGGAGCGCACCCCAG
rnacentral:misc_RNA from 1 species